rnacentral:rRNA from 1 species
GACGAACGCUGGCGGCGUGCUUAACACAUGCAAGUCGAACGGAAAGGCCCUGCUUGCAGGGUACUCGAGUGGCGAACGGGUGUGUAACACGUGGGUGUUCCCCCCUGCACUUCGGGAUAAGCCUGGGAAACUGGGUCUAAUACCGGAUAGCUGCCAUUUUUAGUGUGAUGGUUGGAAAGUUUUUUCGGUGUAGGGUGAGCUGGCGGCCUAUCAGCUUGUUGGUGGGGUAAUGGCCUACCAACGCGGCGGAGGGUAGCCGGCCUGAGAGGGUGGACGGCCACAUUGGGACUGAGGGAAGGCCCAGGCUGCUAAGGGAGGCAACAGUGGGGAAUAUUGCACAAUGGGCGCAAGGCUGAUGCAGCGACGCCGCGGGGGGGAAGACGGCCUUCGGGGUGUAAACUCGUUUCGCUAGGGACGAAGCUGUUUGUGACGGUACCGAGAGAAGAAGCACCGGCUAACUACGUG